AGACCCCUUGAAGACGACGAGGUUGAUAGGUCAGAGGUGGAAGUGCAGUAAUGCAUGGAGCUGACUGAUACUAAUAGGUCGAGGGCUUAUCCAUAA
rnacentral:rRNA from 1 species